AUUGAACGCUGGCGGCAGGCUUAACACAUGCAAGUAGAGCGGGGUGAUGGUGCUUGCACUAUCACUUAGCGGCGGACGGGUGAGUAAUGCUUAGGAAUCUGCCUAUUAGUGGGGGACAACAUCCCGAAAGGGAUGCUAAUACCGCAUACGUCCUACGGGAGAAAGCAGGGGAUCACUUGUGACCUUGCGCUAAUAGAUGAGCCUAAGUCGGAUUAGCUAGUUGGUGGGGUAAAGGCCUACCAAGGCGACGAUCUGUAGCGGGGCUGAGAGGAUGAUCCGCCACGCUGGGGCUGGGACACGGCCCAGACUCCGACGGGAGGCAGCAGUGGGGAAUAUUGGACAAUGGGGGGAGCCCUGAUCCAGCCAUGCCGCGUGUGCGAAGAAGGCCUUAUGGUUGUAAAGCACUUUAAGCGAGGAGGAGGCUCUUUUGGUUAAUACCCAAGAUGAGUGGACGUUACUCGCAGAAUAAGCACCGGCUAACUCUGUGCCAGCAGCCGCCGUAA
rnacentral:rRNA from 1 species